rnacentral:rRNA from 1 species
CUACGGGAGGCAGCAGUGGGGAAUAUUGCACAAUGGGCGCAAGCCUGAUGCAGCAACGCCGCGUGGGGGACGAAGGCCUUCGGGUUGUAAACCUCUUUUAGUAGGGAAGAAGCGCAAGUGACGGUACCUACAGAAAAAGCACCGGCUAACUACGUGCCAGCAGCCGCGGUAAUACGUAGGGUGCAAGCGUUGUCCGGAAUUAUUGGGCGUAAAGAGCUCGUAGGCGGUUUGUCGCGUCUGCUGUGAAAAUCCGAGGCUCAACCUCGGACCUGCAGUGGGUACGGGCAAACUAGAGUGCGGUAGGGGAGAUUGGAAUUCCUGGUGUAGCGGUGGAAUGCGCAGAUAUCAGGAGGAACACCAAUGGCGAAGGCAGAUCUCUGGGCCGUAACUGACGCUGAGGAGCGAAAGCGUGGGGAGCGAACAGGAUUAGAUACCCCUGUACUC